CUACGGGGGGCAGCAGUGAGGAAUAUUGCACAAUGGGGGGAACCCUGAUGCAGCAACGCCGCGUGGAGGAUGACGCAUUUCGGUGUGUAAACUCCUUUUAUAUGUUAAGAAAAUGACGGUAGCAUAUGAAUAAGCACCGGCUAACUCCGUGCCAGCAGCCGCGGUAAUACGGGAGGGUGCAAGCGUUACUCGGAAUCACUGGGCGUAAAGGACGCGUAGGCGGGUUGGAAAGUCAGGUGUGAAAUCCUACAGCUUAACUGUAGAACUGCACUUGAAACUUCUAAUCUAGAGUAUGGGAGGGGUAGAUGGAAUUAGUGGUGUAGGGGUAAAAUCCGUAGAUAUCACUAGGAAUACCUAAAGCGAAGGCGAUCUCCUGGAACAUUACUGACGCUAAGGCGUGAAAGCGUGGGGAGCAAACAGGAUUAGAUACCCCCGUAGUC
rnacentral:rRNA from 1 species